AACGCGAAGAACCUUACCAGGUCUUGACAUCUAGUGCAAUCUGUAGAGAUACGGAGUUCCCUUCGGGGACGCUAAGACAGGUGGUGCAUGGCUGUCGUCAGCUCGUGUCGUGAGAUGUUGGGUUAAGUCCCGCAACGAGCGCAACCCUUGUUAUUAGUUGCCAGCAUUAAGUUGGGCACUCUAAUGAGACUGCCGGUGACAAACCGGAGGAAGGUGGGGAUGACG
rnacentral:rRNA from 1 species